UGGCGGCGUGCUUAAACAUGCAAGUCGAACGAUGAUGCCCAGCUUGCUGGGUGGAUUAGUGGCGAACGGGUGAGUAACACGUGAGUAACCUGCCCCUGACUCUGGGAUAAGCGUUGGAAACGACGUCUAAUACUGGAUAUGAUCACUGGCCGCAUGGUCUGGUGGUGGAAAGAUUUUUUGGUUGGGGAUGGACUCGCGGCCUAUCAGCUUGUUGGUGAGGUAAUGGCUCACCAAGGCGACGACGGGUAGCCGGCCUGAGAGGGUGACCGGCCACACUGGGACUGAGACACGGCCCAGACUCCUACGGGAGGCAGCAGUGGGGAAUAUUGCACAAUGGGCGAAAGCCUGAUGCAGCAMCGCCGCGUGAGGGAUGACGGCCUUCGGGUUGUAAACCUCUUUUAGUAGGGAAGAAGCGAAGGUGACGGUACCUGCAGAAAAAGCACCGGCUAACUACGUGCCAGCAGCCGCGGUAAUACGUAGGGUGCAAGCGUUGUCCGGAAUUAUUGGGCGUAAAGAGCUCGUAGGCGGUUUGUCGCGUCUGCUGUGAAAUCCCGAGGCUCAACCUCGGGCUUGCAGUGGGUACGGGCAGACUAGAGUGCGGUAGGGGAGAUUGGAAUUCCUGGUGUAGCGGUGGAAUGCGCAGAUAUCAGGAGGAACACCGAUGGCGAAGGCAGAUCUCUGGGCCGUAACUGACGCUGAGGAGCGAAAGCAUGGGGAGCGAACAGGAUUAGAUACCCUGGUAGUCCAUGCCGUAAACGUUGGGCGCUAGAUGUAGGGACCUUUCCACGGUUUCUGUGUCGUAGCUAACGCAUUAAGCGCCCCGCCUGGGGAGUACGGCCGCAAGGCUAAAACUCAAAGGAAUUGACGGGGGCCCGCACAAGCGGCGGAGCAUGCGGAUUAAUUCGAUGCAACGCGAAGAACCUUACCAAGGCUUGACAUACACCGGAAACGGCCAGAGAUGGUCGCCCCCUUGUGGUCGGUGUACAGGUGGUGCAUGGUUGUCGUCAGCUCGUGUCGUGAGAUGUUGGUUUAAGUCCCGCAACGAGCGCACCCCUCGUUCUAUGUUGCCAGCGGAUUAUG
rnacentral:rRNA from 1 species